rnacentral:lncRNA from 1 species
AUGGCGGCGGAGGGACGGGGAAAAAGAGACGGCCGCCCCACCCGGCACUCCCGCCAGCGACACUCACCUGAGGGACGGAGGAAGGCCUGCAGCAGCGGGGCGGGGAGGGCGGGAUCGCAGGGCGGCGAGCACGGGUGUAAGUGGGCGGCGGCCGCGGGCGAAGGGCAGCGAGGAGCCCCGUCCUUGCGGCCGCCCCUCGCCCCGCGCCGGUGCCCGAGCGCCGGGGCGGCGCCUCGGAGCGCAGCCGGGCGGGACCCGCGCUCCGAGCGCCGCCUCGCGGCGGGAAACGUCACCGCGGCUUCUCGCCGCACGCCGGGAGUUGUAGUCGGAGCCGCGGCCCCGCAGCUGCCCCAGCGCCGCGGCCGCCGCCGCCGCUCCCCCCGGCAGCACUGCGGGCUCCGCACCGCGACCCCGCGCUCCACCUCUGCGGCCCGUGCCCGGAGCGCUCCCCGGCGGGAGGCGGCGCGGGCGGGCCGGUGCGCGCCUGCGCGGGAGGCGGCGCCGGGCGGUGAAGUUGGUGGGAGCGCCGGUGAUAAAAUGGUAGGUUGUGCGAGCCGGGGGGGAGGGGAGGUGGCGAAACAGGGGAGGGGGAGCCUCGAACAACCCCCAGGCACCCCCCGGGCUGGCGAGCCGAGCGCCCCCGCACCUCCCGCAGCGCCGAGUCCCGUUGCCCUGCCCGGGGAGGCGCCAGGCGGGGGGGACGAGCGGCGCGGGGACUCGGGGACGCGCACCCCCCGUGCGGAGUCGCGCUCCCGCCGCCUCCUCCGCCGGGCCAGGAGCGGGGAAGGUCAUCGGGGGCGGCGGGGGAAGGGAGGGGGCCGGGCCCCGCCGCGGGUAUUUCGAGCGCAGGCAGCCGGCGCAGCGCGUACCUUUCCCUUUUUUGGGAUUGGGGCUGGCGGGGCAGGUCACCGGAGCUGCGAGUCCCUCGCUCCCACCGGCCCCUUCCCCACCGCGGGACGCGGCAGGUGCAGCCUGAGGCGGUGGGAAAGGUGCGGUACAAAUUGCCUUGCUGGGUCGGGGCGGCGGGCUCGGCCGGGGCUGUUUUGGGAAGGAAGGGCUCUCCUGGUGCCUCUGCAGCAGCUUCAGCGCUUCCCUGGGGUGUGCGGUACAGUGUCAUUCGCGCUGGGAGAGGGCUCCAGGAACGUGACUGAGCUGUGCCCGGAUGCGAGGUGCGCAUCCUUGUUCGGGUGCCACCAGCGAGGGGUCAUGCUGGGGACAGGAGCUCCGGAGCCCUCCCGGCCCCCAGGGGAGGUGCGCGGGUGCCGCUCCCGCUGCAGGGCACUGCCCGCGGAUGAGCGGCAGGAGCCGUGCUACGUGGCAGGGUAG